rnacentral:rRNA from 1 species
AGUCGAGUGCGCGGUUGUAGCAAUACAACUGGCGCACGGCGCACGGGUGCGUAACACGUGGGCAAUCUGCCCUCCGAUGGGGAAUAACCCCGCGAAAGCGGGGCUAAUUCCGCAUAACAUUCCCUGGACUCUGGUUCGGGGAUUCAAAGCAGCAAUGCGUCGGAGGAGGAGCCCGCGCCCGAUUAGCUAGUUGGUGAGGUAACGGCUCACCAAGGCUGUGAUCGGUAGCUGGUCUGAGAGGAUGGCCAGCCACACUGGAACUGAGACACGGUCCAGACUCCUACGGGAGGCAGCAGUGGGGAAUCUUGCGCAAUGGGCGAAAGCCUGACGCAGCGACGCCGCGUGGGGGAUGAAGCUUCUCGGAGUGUAAACCCCUUUCGACCGGGACGAAUGCCCGCAAGGGAGUGACGGUACCGGUAGAAGAAGCCCCGGCUAACUACGUGCCAGCAGCCGCGGUAAGACGUAGGGGGCCAGCGUUGUUCGGAAUUACUGGGUGUAAAGGGUUCGUAGGCGGUGUGGCAAGUCGGGAGUGAAAUUUCUGGGCUUAACCCAGAGGCUGCUUCCGAAACUGCUGUGCUCGAGUGUGGGAGAGGCGCGUGGAAUUGCAGGUGUAGCGGUGAAAUGCGUAGAUAUCUGCAGGAACACCCGUGGCGAAAGCGGCGCGCUGGACCACUACUGACGCUGAGGAACGAAAGCUAGGGGAGC